AUGAACCUAACAGAAGCAGAAGAUAUUCAGAAGAGGUGGCAAAAAUACACAGAAGAACUGUACAAAAAAGAUCUUCACGACCCAGAUAAUCAUGAUGGUGUGAUCACUCAUCUAGAGCCAGACAUCCUGGAAUGUGAAGUCAAGUGGGCCUUAGAAAGCAUCACUACGAACAAAGCUAGUGGAGGUGAUGGAAUUCCAGUUGAGCUGUUUCAAAUCCUGGAAGAUGAUGCUAUGAAAGUGCUGCACUCAAUAUGCCAGCCAAUUUGGAAAACUCAGCAGCGGCCACAGGACUGGGCAAGGUCAGUUUUCAUUCCAACCCCAAAGAAAGGCAAUGCCAAAGAAUUCUCAAACUACCGCACAAUUGCACUCAUCUCACACGCUAGUAAAGGAAUGCUCAAAAUUCUCCAGGCCAGACUUCAGCAAUACGUGAACCAUGAACUUCCAGCUGCUCAAGCUGGUUUUAGAAAGGGCAGAGGAACCAGAGAUCAAAUUUCCAACAUCCACUGGAUCAUGGAAAAAGCAAGAGAGCUCCAGAAAAACAUCUAUUUCUGCUUUAUUGACUAUGACAAAGCCUUUGACUGUGUGGAUCACAAGAAACUGUGGAAAAUUCUGAAAGAGAUGGGAAUACCAGACCACCUGACCUGCCUCUUGAGAAAUCUGUAUACAGGUCAGGAAGCAACAGUUAGAAGUGGACAUGGAACAACAGACUGGUUCCAAAUAGGAAAAGGAGUACGUCAAGGCUGUGUAUUGUCAUUUAACUUCUAUGCAGAGUACAUCGUGAGAAACACUGGGCUGGAAGAAACACAAGCUGGAAUCAAGAUUGCUGGGAGAAAUAUCAAUAAGGUCAGAUAUGCAGAUGACACCACCCUUAUGGCAGAAAGUGAAGAGGAACUAAUAAGCCUCUUGAUGAAAGUGAAAGAGGAGAGUGAAAUAGUUGUCUUAAAGCUCAACAUUCAGAAAACGAAGAUCAUGGCAUCUGGUCCCAUCACUUCAUGGGAAAUAGAUAGGGAAACAGUGGAAACAGUGUCAGACUUUAUUUUUUUUUACUCCAAAAUCACUGCAGAUGGUGACUGCAGCCAUGAAAUUAAAAGACGCUUACUCCUUGGAAGAAAAGUUAUGACCAAUCUAGAUAGCAUAUUGAAAAGCAGAGACAUUACUUUGCCGACUAAGGUCUGUCUAGUCAAGGUUAUGGUUUUUCCAGUGGUCACGUAUGGAUGUGAGAGUUGGACUGUGAAGAAGGCUGAGUGCCGAAGAAUUGAUGCUUUUGAACUGUGGUGUUGGAGAAGACUCUUGAGAGUCCCUUGGACUACAAGGAGAUCCAACCAGUCCAUUCUGAAGGAGAUCAACCCUGGGAUUUCUUUGGAAGGAAUGAUGCUAAAGCUGAAGCUCCAGUACUUUGGCCACCUCAUGGGAAGAGUUGACUCAUUGGCAAAGACUCUGAUGCUGGGAGGGAUUGGGGGCAGGAGGAGAAGGGGAUGA
rnacentral:lncRNA from 1 species